rnacentral:rRNA from 1 species
AUUCCGUCAUGAACGCUGGCGGCGUGCCUAAUACAUGCAAGUCGAACGAGUUCUCGUUGAUGAUCGGUGCUUGCACCGAGAUUCAACAUGGAACGAGUGGCGGACGGGUGAGUAACACGUGGGUAACCUGCCCUUAAGUGGGGGAUAACAUUUGGAAACAGAUGCUAAUACCGCAUAGAUCCAAGAACCGCAUGGUUCUUGGCUGAAAGAUGGCGUAAGCUAUCGCUUUUGGAUGGACCCGCGGCGUAUUAGCUAGUUGGUGAGGUAAUGGCUCACCAAGGCGAUGAUACGUAGCCGAACUGAGAGGUUGAUCGGCCACAUUGGGACUGAGACACGGCCCAAACUCCUACGGGAGGCAGCAGUAGGGAAUCUUCCACAAUGGACGCAAGUCUGAUGGAGCAACGCCGCGUGAGUGAAGAAGGCUUUCGGGUCGUAAAACUCUGUUGUUGGAGAAGAAUGGUCGGCAGAGUAACUGUUGUCGGCGUGACGGUAUCCAACCAGAAAGCCACGGCUAACUACGUGCCAGCAGCCGCGGUAAUACGUAGGUGGCAAGCGUUAUCCGGAUUUAUUGGGCGUAAAGCGAGCGCAGGCGGUUUUUUAAGUCUGAUGUGAAAGCCCUCGGCUUAACCGAGGAAGCGCAUCGGAAACUGGGAAACUUGAGUGCAGAAGAGGACAGUGGAACUCCAUGUGUAGCGGUGAAAUGCGUAGAUAUAUGGAAGAACACCAGUGGCGAAGGCGGCUGUCUGGUCUGUAACUGACGCUGAGGCUCGAAAGCAUGGGUAGCGAACAGGAUUAGAUACCCUGGUAGUCCAUGCCGUAAACGAUGAAUGCUAGGUGUUGGAGGGUUUCCGCCCUUCAGUGCCGCAGCUAACGCAUUAAGCAUUCCGCCUGGGGAGUACGACCGCAAGGUUGAAACUCAAAGGAAUUGACGGGGGCCCGCACAAGCGGUGGAGCAUGUGGUUUAAUUCGAAGCAACGCGAAGAACCUUACCAGGUCUUGACAUCUUUUGAUCACCUGAGAGAUCAGGUUUCCCCUUCGGGGGCAAAAUGACAGGUGGUGCAUGGUUGUCGUCAGCUCGUGUCGUGAGAUGUUGGGUUAAGUCCCGCAACGAGCGCAACCCUUAUGACUAGUUGCCAGCAUUUAGUUGGGCACUCUAGUAAGACUGCCGGUGACAAACCGGAGGAAGGUGGGGAUGACGUCAAAUCAUCAUGCCCCUUAUGACCUGGGCUACACACGUGCUACAAUGGAUGGUACAACGAGUUGCGAGACCGCGAGGUCAAGCUAAUCUCUUAAAGCCAUUCUCAGUUCGGACUGUAGGCUGCAACUCGCCUACACGAAGUCGGAAUCGCUAGUAAUCGCGGAUCAGCACGCCGCGGUGAAUACGUUGCCCGGGCCUUGUACACACCGCCCGUCACAACCAUGAGAGUUUGUAACACCCGAAGCCGGUGGCGUAACCCUUUUAGGGAGCGAGCCGUCUAAGGUGGGACAAAUGAUUAGGGUGAAG